ACAGUACUCCUACGGGAGGCAGCAGUGGGGAAUAUUGCACAAUGGGGGAAACCCUGAUGCAGCCAUGCCGCGUGUGUGAAGAAGGCCUUCGGGUUGUAAAGCACUUUCAGUAGGGAGGAAGGUAGUGUAGUUAACACCUGCAUUAUUUGACGUUACCUACAGAAGAAGCACCGGCUAACUCCGUGCCAGCAGCCGCGGUAAUACGGAGGGUGCGAGCGUUAAUCGGAAUUACUGGGCGUAAAGCGCAUGCAGGCGGCCUGUUAAGUCAGAUGUGAAAGCCCCGGGGCUUAACCUCGGAAUUGCAUUUGAAACUGGCAGGCUAGAGUCUUGUAGAGGGGGUAGAAUUUCAGGUGUAGCGGUGAAAUGCGUAGAGAUCUGAAGGAAUACCAGUGGCGAAGGCGGCCCCCUGGACAAAGACUGACGCUCAGAUGCGAAAGCGUGGGGAGCAAACAGGAUUAGAUACCCUGGUAG
rnacentral:rRNA from 1 species